CGUUUCCGCGCCUAUGCGCACCGAAACGCCCGAAUGCUUCCGAACUUCGCCGAACUUCACCGGAACCAUUCGAAUGGCUUUCUAACCUCAUGUAAACCAUAACUUUAUAGUUUUAGAAGUAUGGUAUGUUACACAUAGAGUCUGUUUUAGGAGUUUUUGAUGUACUUUUGAGUUUUGAAUAGUAUUUGGACUACAUGCGAGGGGUUCGAGGUUUUGGUGAUGACAUUGAAUUUCGUUUUUUCUUUAAGAUGUAAUUUUUGAGUUUUUGUGUGUUUUGUUACGAAAUUGCCAAAGGGGGAGAUUGUUAAGUCUUGUGUGUUGGCAAGCUUCGUGAAGUGAGUCGAAGUCUUGAAGAAUCGGUGCGUAUCGUCGAAGAUCGAAGAAUUCAAGAUUUCGAAGAAUUUGGAAAAUAA
rnacentral:lncRNA from 1 species